UUCCUUCUUGCCACCUCCACGUGCUCUUCAUGCAACCAGAUAACAAUAGCUUUCCUGGCUUCCACACACUCAGUUGUCACAUUUUGUGGCGAAACAAAGCCUUUAGUAAACCGUGCUUAGGGUGGCCUUCCCGGGCUUGGACGGGUGCAGCUGAUUUUUGUUUUUAAAUUUAACUGCAGCCCGGCGGGGUGGCUCAUGCCUAUAAUCCCAGAACUUUGGGAGGCCG
rnacentral:lncRNA from 1 species